CGAGCUAAUGCCUUGUGUUUUUAUUUUUUGUAGAUUUGGAGAUGUCUUCUGAUCUAUCAAACUCCUCGCGAACGUCUGCAAUAAGGCCAAAGGCCUAAAGCCUAAGGUCCCUAUCCCGUUCAAGGGAAAGAAAAGGGCUAGGGAGGUCACACCAAGACAAAUCCCGAGUGGUUUAGGACAGACAUCAAAGAGCCCUACCUCGCCAUCGUAGCCCAUCCCCAAGCUGCAAGCUUAGGAUUCGACUCCUCAGGCUGGCUCAAACAUUGUGGAUCAGGAUCACGUCCCCAUGCCCACCAGGUCGUUCGAGGAGUAUGCUGAAUGCUCGUUGAUCCAGAGAGCAUUGUGGACAAGUAUGAGAAGGAGGUUAACCUUCAUGAAAGGGUCCAAACCCUCGAGCUACUCGCUCUGAAGGUAUGAUCUUGAUGUUAACGCUGCUUUCCUAUUUUUCUAUUCUUUUUGGAUUGUUCUGACAUCGGGUAUAAUAUUUACUUUGCAGUCUUUAAGUUAGCUUGAGGCCUGACAUUGAACAUCUUGAGCAAGUUGGAGGAGCUCGAGGCCAAGAAUGAGUGGGCGAGGAAAAGGGUUUUCGAGCUUGAGAGAGAGCGAGAUGAUGCUAGGGCAGAUUUGAGGAGGACCUGAGAUGAGAUCGGGGUGGCUAAGGAUAAGGUCGAAGAAGCUAAGCUCGAGCUCGUACAAGCCAGAAAGGGCUUUGAGGAUGAACUGGCCAGGGCUCUAGCUCAGGCUAUUGAGGACUUCAAGAAGUCGGAGGAGUUCGGGACCCUCCUAGGGCAGUAUGGGUCGAGCUCAUAUCACUACGGCUUGAGGCUUGCUCGAUUAUUUUUGCGGAUGAAGCUCCUCGAUGAUUUGAACCCUAUGUUAGAGGGAUUGAGAACGUUUAGAGCUUGCCAAUUAUCUUGAGCUCUCUGCAUCGGAGGUCGAUGAAGACAAUGAUGACGGAGAUGAUGUUGGGACCCUUGAUUAGAGUGAUGCCGCCAAUGCCAUUGACCUCGAUUAGGUCUUAUCCCUUGAACUUUUGCUUACUAAUUUUUGAAAAAAUUGUAAAGUACAUUGCCCGACCUGGGCUUUUACCUUUUGGAAAUGCUAUUACUAACUUGAUGUUUUGCGUUUAUCAAAUAUUUGCUCAUGCCUCGUCUUCUACGCAUGUUUUUUUAUCCAUUUUGCUCAUGUGUUGUUUUGUGCAUGUAUUAAGGUCGAGAUAUAUAUAUCGUGUAAAGUAGCAAUGUAUUAUGAUCCCAG
rnacentral:lncRNA from 1 species